rnacentral:rRNA from 1 species
CCUACGGGAGACAGCAGUGAGGAAUAUUGGUCAAUGGUCGAGAGUCUGAACCAGCCAAGCAGCGUGAAGGAUGACUGUCCUGUGGGUCGUAAACUUCUUUUAUAAAGGAAUAAAACGUGGCACGUGUGCCUUUUUGCUUGUACUUUAUGAAUAAGGAUCGGCUAACUCCGUGCCAGCAGCCGCGGUAAUACGGAGGAUCCGAGCGUUAUCCGGAUUUAUUGGGUUUAAAGGGUGCGUAGGCGGCCUUUUAAGUCAGCGGUGAAAGUCUGUGGCUCAACCAUAGAAUGGCCGUUGAAACUGGUGGUCUUGAGUAUGUUAGAAGCAGGCGGAAUGCGUGGUGUAGCGGUGAAAUGCUUAGAUAUCGCGCAGAACCCCGAUUGCGAAGGCAGCAUGCCAAGCCAUGACUGACGCUGAUGCACGAAAGCGUGGGGAUCAAACAGGAUUAGAUACCCUUGUAGUC